rnacentral:sRNA from 1 species
UUGUUUAAAGCCCAGAGCAAAACACCAACCUUAGGUUCGGUGAUAAUCUAGCCGUUAUACACGGUUAGGUGAUAAUCUAACAGCUAUACAUGGUUCGGGUAACAAACUUUCCUUUUUUAAGUUGAUACGCUCCUACUAAUUUCUUUAUAUACGCUUCUCAUUUAUCUAAGGGUAAUUUGCAAGCCACACCCUUUGAUCAUGUUUUAUUUUCAGGAAUUGCCAAAGUGAAAGGUGGUUUUCACGUUUUGUCUUUUCAGCUGAAAUUUGACCAUUUUGCCCUUGCUGCUACAGAUGAGAAAUUGUUGAAUGUACGGUUUAGUUAGUCAGGUUUAGUUAGGUACACUGUUCCGGUUUAGUUAGAGAUAUUUUUGUUUCACGUUGAGGAGCGCGCUGUACAGUUAGAAGAGAGAUUUUUUCAUUAUAAACGAAAUGACAUCAACAUUUAAUGGCCCAAAAAGUUUAGACGUGACUCUUGUUAUAAUUAAUGCAAAAUCAUCAUUACAUGUUAUU